GUGCUCACUUCAGUAGCACAUAUACUAAAAUUGGAAUGACACAGAGAAGAUUAGCAUGGCCCCUGCACAAGGAUGACAAAUUUGAUGCAAAUUCGUGAAGUGUUCCAUAUUUUU
rnacentral:snRNA from 1 species